GUGAGGAAUAUUGCGCAAUGGAGGCAACUCUGACGCAGCCAUGCCGCGUGCAGGAAGAAGGCGCUACGCGUUGUAAACUGCUUUUAACCGGGAAGAAACCCCAGGACGUGUCCUGGGUUGACGGUACCGGAGGAAUAAGCACCGGCUAACUUCGUGCCAGCAGCCGCGGUAAUACGAAGGGUGCAAGCGUUAUCCGGAUUCAUUGGGUUUAAAGAGUGCGUAGGCGGAGCGUUAAGUCAGUGGUGAAAUCCUGCAGCUUAACUGUAGACUUGCCAUUGAUACUGGCGCUCUUGAGUGCGCUUGAAGUGGGCGGAAUGUGCCGUGUAGCGGUGAAAUGCUUAGAUAUGGCACAGAACACCAAUUGCGAAGGCAGCUCACUAAGGCGAUACUGACGCUGAGGCACGAAAGCGUGGGGAUCGAACAGGAUUAGAAACCCCUGUAGUCC
rnacentral:rRNA from 1 species